rnacentral:rRNA from 1 species
CGCGCAGGCGGCCAAUCAAGUCAGAUGUGAAAGCCCCGGGCUCAACCUGGGAAUAGCAUUUGGGACUGUUUGGCUUGGGAUCGGGAGAGGAGGGUGGAAUUCCCAGUGUAGAGGUGAAAUUCGUAGAUAUUGGGAAGAACACCGGUGGCGAAGGCGGCUCUCUGGACCGAUACUGACGCUGAGGCGACGAAAGCGGUGGGGAGACAAACGAGGUAUUAGACUACCCGUGGUACGUCCACGCUAGUAAACGAUGUGUGCUAGACGGUUGGGGGACCUAGUUUCCCGGUGUCGCAGCUAACGCGUUAAGCACACCGCCGUGGGGAGUACGGCCGCAAAGGUUAAA